GAAAAGAUGUUACUGAAACAGUAGUAGUACUUCCUGAAACAGAGGAGUCUUUGCCCCUUUUUAGUGGUUGACUAGAAGAUACACUCAGAUUUCUCCUUUUUGCUAACUCAGCUCGCAGACUCCUAUUUUUAUUCGCAAGCUUCUCAGCUCUUAAAGCCAUUUGCACCACCUCUUUAGCUACGAUUGCGUCCGAUUCACCCAUAAAAGAAACACAACCAUGUUGCCU
rnacentral:lncRNA from 1 species